CGGCAUGGAUUAGGCAUGCAAGUCGAACGGGACCAGUAGCAAUAUUGGUCUAGUGGCGAAAGGGUGAGGAACACGUGAAGAACCUGCCUUCGGGUUUGGGAUAGCCCCUGGAAACGGGGAGUAAUACCAGGUGUGAUUAUCGGACGAUUGUCCGGUGUAUCAAAGCAGCAAUGCGCCUGUAGAUGGCUUCGCGUCCGAUUAGCUAGUUGGCGGGGUAACGGCCCACCAAGGCGACGAUCGGUAGGUGGUCUGAGAGGAUGGUCACCCACACUGGGACUGAGACACUGCCCAGACUCCUACGGGAGGCUGCAGUCGAGAAUCUUCCGCAAUGGGCGCAAGCCUGACGGAGCAAUGCCGCGUGAGGGAUGAAGGCCUUCGGGUUGUAAACCUCUGUCGCCCGGGACGAAUCAAUGACGGUACCGGGAGAGGAAGCUACGGCUAACUACGUGCCAGCAGCCGCGGUAAUACGUAGGUAGCGAGCGUUAUUCGGAUUUACUGGGCGUAAAGGGUCCGCAGGAGGCCUGCCAAGUCUGAUGUGAAAGCCCAUGGCUCAACUAUGGAACUGCAUCGGAAACUGGCGGGCUCGAGUGCACGAGGGGAAAGCGGAAUUCCAGGUGUAGCGGUGGGAAUGCGUAGAUAUCUGGAGGAACACCGAUGGCGAAGGCGGCUUUCUGGCGUGCAACUGACUCUCAUGGACGAAAGUGUGGGUAGCAAAC
rnacentral:rRNA from 1 species